GACGAACGCUGGCGGCGUGCCUAACACAUGCAAGUCAAGGCGGUAGCAAUACCGACUGGCGCACGGGUGCGGAACACGUAGGUAAUCUGCCCUUUAGGGGAGAACAACUCAUCGAAAGGUGAGCUAAAUCUCCGUAAUGUUUUACUAUGGCAUCAUAGUUCAACCAAGUUUUCUAAGGGAUGAGCCUGCGUCUGAUUAGCUAGUUGGUGAGGUAACUGCUCACCAAGGCUACGAUCAGUAGCUGGUCUGAGAGGAUGAUCAGCCACAUUGGGACUGAGACACGGCCCAGACUCCUACGGGAGGCAGCAGUGAGAAUAUUGCUCAAUGGACGAAAGUCUGAAGCAGCAACGCCGCGUGAGGGAU
rnacentral:rRNA from 1 species